UACAGAGGUCUCAAGCGUUGUUCGGAUUCACUGGGCGUAAAGGGUGCGUAGGCGGCGCGGAAAGUCGGGCGUGAAAUCUCGGAGCUUAACUCCGAAACUGCAUUCGAUACUGCCGUGCUUGAGGACUGGAGAGGAGACUGGAAUUUACGGUGUAGCGGUGAAAUGCGUAGAUAUCGUAAGGAAGACCAGUGGCGAAGGCGGGUCUCUGGACAGUUCCUGACGCUGAGGCACGAAGGUCAGGGGAGCAAACGGG
rnacentral:rRNA from 1 species